GACGAACGCUGGCGGCGUGCUUAACACAUGCAAGUCGAACGGAAAGGCCCUUCGGGGUACUCGAGUGGCGAACGGGUGAGUAACACGUGGGUGAUCUGCCCUGCACUUUGGGAUAAGCCUGGGAAACUGGGUCUAAUACCGAAUAGGACCACGCGCUUCAUGGUGUGUGGUGGAAAGCUUUUGCGGUGUGGGAUGGGCCCGCGGCCUAUCAGCUUGUUGGUGGGGUAAUGGCCUACCAAGGCGACGACGGGUAGCCGGCCUGAGAGGGUGACCGGCCACACUGGGACUGAGAUACGGCCCAGACUCCUACGGGAGGCAGCAGUGGGGAAUAUUGCACAAUGGGCGCAAGCCUGAUGCAGCGACGCCGCGUGAGGGAUGACGGCCUUCGGGUUGUAAACCUCUUUCAAUAGGGACGAAGCGUGAGUGACGGUACCUAUAGAAGAAGCACCGGCCAACUACGUGCCAGCAGCCGCGGUAAUACGUAGGGUGCGAGCGUUGUCCGGAAUUACUGGGCGUAAAGAGCUCGUAGGUGGUUUGUCGCGUUGUUCGUGAAAACUCACAGCUUAACUGUGGGCGUGCGGGCGAUACGGGCAGACUAGAGUACUGCAGGGGAGACUGGAAUUCCUGGUGUAGCGGUGGAAUGCGCAGAUAUCAGGAGGAACACCGGUGGCGAAGGCGGGUCUCUGGGCAGUAACUGACGCUGAGGAGCGAAAGCGUGGGGAGCGAACAGGAUUAGAUACCCUGGUAGUCCGCGCCGUAAACGGUGGGUACUAGGUGUGGGUUCCUUCCUUGGGAUCCGUGCCGUAGCUAACGCAUUAAGUACCCCGCCUGGGGAGUACGGCCGCAAGGCUAAAACUCAAAGGAAUUGACGGGGGCCCGCACAAGUGGCGGAGCAUGUGGAUUAAUUCGAUGCAACGCGAAGAACCUUACCUGGGUUUGACAUGCACAGGACGCCGGCAGAGAUGUCGGUUCCCUUGUGGCCUGUGUGCAGGUGGUGCAUGGCUGUCGUCAGCUCGUGUCGUGAGAUGUUGGGUUAAGUCCCGCAACGAGCGCAACCCUUGUCCUAUGUUGCCAGCGGGUUAUGCCGGGGACUCGUAGGAGACUGCCGGGGUCAACUCGGAGGAAGGUGGGGAUGACGUCAAGUCAUCAUGCCCCUUAUGUCCAGGGCUUCACACAUGCUACAAUGGCCGGUACAAAGGGCUGCGAUGCCGUGAGGUGGAGCGAAUCCUUUCAAAGCCGGUCUCAGUUCGGAUCGGGGUCUGCAACUCGACCCCGUGAAGUCGGAGUCGCUAGUAAUCGCAGAUCAGCAACGCUGCGGUGAAUACGUUCCCGGGCCU
rnacentral:rRNA from 1 species